CGCAUGCACCUUUCUCAUUCCAGACAUUCCUUCACUGAACGUCAAAGAGUGAAGGCACGAGUCAUGUCGUUGUGUUGCAAAGACAAGGUUUAUACGUUAAAAUACCUGUCACUUUUCAAAACAAGUGUUGGAAAAGCAGCAUAAGAUAGCCUGGUUCCAGUGGGAGCUGGGUUGCUGUGUUUUGUGCUGCUGAGAACUCCGCCGUGCUCACCUGCGUUCCAGCGAUCGACGGCGCGACGAAGGACUUCAUCCGUGGGUUUGGCGGCAAGCAUCGGCUAGGCGUAAUUGGUUUUUUGUAUGAUCCUGAAGUCUGGUUCCAAACUGGACUUGAGUUAUGAUGGCGAGCCAGUCCCAGGGAGUGAGAGUCUGCGGAGAGGGAGCGUUUGGAUGUGGUGUGGCCAGCUGCAUCGGUUUCCACACUCUGCAGCGACCUAUAACUGAACUGAUCCACCAUCAGAGUCGCAAGUAUUGAACCGAAUCAGUAUGGAAUAACGGAUUACAAUAGAACUAAGGAUUCCCAACCAAGGAAUAUAGACAGUGUUCAAUUCAUUACUACCCGGGUAGAAUUUACUUUUUGAAAAGACAAUUUAAAAAGGACAUUUCUUCUAUUUUGCUACUUUUGAAUUUUUGCAACAGAGCUCUAUUUUUAUUUAUUUUUGGGGGGUAUGUACAAUUUAAAAAGCACACUGUUCAUGUGUUAUUGUUUAUUAUUGUGCAAUAAAUUUGCCAGCAGCUGUUCUG